rnacentral:rRNA from 1 species
GUUAGGAAUAUUGGACAAUGGGCGCAAGCCUGAUCCAGCCAUGCCGCGUGAGUGAUGAAGGCCUUCGGGUUGUAAAGCUCUUUAGCCGAUGAUUAUAAUGACUGUAGUCGGAAAAUAAGCCCCGGCUAACUUCGUGCCAGCAGCCGCGGUAAUACGAAGGGGGCGAGCGUUAUUCGGAAUCACUGGGCGUAAAGCGUGCGUAGGCGGCUUUGCAAGUUGGGAGUGAAAGCCCAGGGCUCAACCCUGGAAUUGCUCUCAAAACUGCAAGGCGCGAAUUCGGGAGAGGAUAGCGGAAUUGUCAGUGUAGCAGUGAAAUGCGUAGAUAUUGACAGGAACACCAGUGGCGUAAGCGGCUAUCUGGACCGAUAUUGACGCUGAGGCACGAAAGCGUGGGGAUCAAACAGGAUUAGAAACCCGUGUAGUCC